rnacentral:rRNA from 1 species
AGAACGAACGCUGGCGGCGUGUUUAAGACAUGCAAGUCGAACGGAUCAAAAUUGUAGCAAUACCGUUUUGGUCAGUGGCGCACGGGUGCGUAACACGUGAGUUACAUGCCCUGCAGUGGGGAAUAGCCCGCCGAAAGGCGGAUUAACUACCCCAUGGUCCCGCGAAGGGGUAAAGGUGGCCGCAAGGCUGCCGCUGCAGGAUUGGCUCGCGGCCUAUCAGCUAGGUUGGCGGGGUAACCGCCCACCGAAGGCGACGACGGGUACCUGGUCUGAGAGGAUGAUCGAGGCACACGUGGAACUGACGACACGGUCCACGACACCGUACGGGUGGCAGCAGUCGAAGAAUAA